UUCUGGCUCAGGACGAACGCUGGCGGCGUGCCUAACACAUGCAAGUCGAACGGAGAUACGAUUUCGGUUGUAUCUUAGUGGCGAACGGGUGAGUAACGCGUGAGCAACCUGACUCUUAGAGGGGGAUAACACUGGGAAACGAGUGCUAAUACCGCAUAAGACCACGACAUGGCAUCAUGACGAGGUCAAAGGAGCAAUCCGCUGAGAGAGGGGCUCGCGUCCCAUUAGAUAGAUGGCGGGGUAACGGCCCACCAUGUCAACGAUGGGUAGCCGAGCUGAGAGGCUGAUCGGCCACACUGGAACUGAGACACGGUCCAGACUCCUACGGGAGGCAGCAGUGGGGAAUAUUGGGCAAUGGGCGCAAGCCUGACCCAGCAACGCCGCGUGGGGGAAGAAGGCUUUCGGGUUGUAAACCUCUGUCCUUGGUGACGAAACAAAUGACGGUAGCCAAGGAGGAAGCCCCGGCUAACUACGUGCCAGCCGCCGC
rnacentral:rRNA from 1 species